AAAUCAACGAAAGGAGGUGGUCCAGUGUCUAGAAUGAUGGUGGAGAACGAGGUCGGAACAGUCAUGGAGGUUCGCGCCUGAGGGCAGCCCCGAGGGCGACACCGCGUGAUUGGGCACCCGCUCUAACCGGGCCCAUCUCCUUAACAUUCGAUAGGGCCGCUGAUCCGAUCAGCGGCCCU
rnacentral:misc_RNA from 1 species